rnacentral:rRNA from 1 species
UGAUAUUGAGUAUCUGUGCCACAUGUACAGGAUAGGUAGGAGCCAAUGAUCUAGGGACGCCAGUUUCUAGUGAGGCGCUGUUGGGAUACUACCCUUGUUGUAUGGCUACUCUAACCCGGAUAGGUGACCCCUAUCGGAGACAGUGUCUGACGGGCAGUUUGACUGGGGCGGUCGCCUCCUAAAAGGUAACGGAGGCGCCCAAAGGUUCCCUCAGACUGGUUGGAAAUCAGUCGCAGAGUGUAAAGGUAUAAGGGA